rnacentral:lncRNA from 1 species
GAAACACAAAUGUUUUUAGUAUUUUUGAAGCAAAAGAAUACAAACCAAACCUUAUUGUGGGUCUCUCAAUGUUCACUCAACAAAUUAGUCAAUUGCAGUCACUGUGUUGGAAUGAGAAAAAAAUAAGAGUAUUUAUCUUUGGUGAAUACGAGUUUUUAUGUUCAGCAUAUGGAAUUACUGGUGCAAAUGGUCGACAUGCUUGCUUGUUUUGUCAUAUAACUCGUGCAGAGAUGAAAAAGCCAG